GUGGGGAAUAUUGGACAAUGGGCGAAAGCCUGAUCCAGCCAUGCCGCGUGUGUGAAGAAGGUCUUCGGAUUGUAAAGCACUUUAAGUUGGGAGGAAGGGCAGUAAGUUAAUACCUUGCUGUUUUGACGUUACCGACAGAAUAAGCACCGGCUAACUUCGUGCCAGCAGCCGCGGUAAUACGAAGGGUGCAAGCGUUAAUCGGAAUUACUGGGCGUAAAGCGCGCGUAGGUGGUUCAGUAAGUUGGAAGUGAAAUCCCCGGGCUCAACCUGGGAACUGCCUCCAAAACUGCAUGACUAGAGUACGGUAGAGGGUAGUGGAAUUUCCUGUGUAGCGGUGAAAUGCGUAGAUAUAGGAAGGAACACCAGUGGCGAAGGCGACUACCUGGACUGAUACUGACACUGAGGUGCGAAAGCGUGGGGAGCAAACAGGAUUAGAUACCCCAGUAGUCC
rnacentral:rRNA from 1 species